UCAGUAGGCGGCCAACUAAGUCCGACGUGAAAUCCCAAAGCUUAACUUUGGAACUGCGUCGGAUACUGGAUGGCUUGAAUUCGGGAGAGGGAUGCAGAAUUCCAGGUGUAGCGGUGAAAUGCGUAGAUAUCUGGAGGAAUACCGGUGGCGAAGGCGGCAUCCUGGACCGAGAUUGACGCUGAACGACGAAAGCUAGGGAGCAAACG
rnacentral:rRNA from 1 species